ACUCAAAUGAAUUGACGGGGGCCCGCACAAGCGGCGGAGCAUGCGGAUUAAUUCGAUGCAACGCGAAGAACCUUACCAAGGCUUGACAUACACCGGAAACGGCUAGAGAUAGUCGCCCCGCAAGGUCGGUGUACAGGUGGUGCAUGGUUGUCGUCAGCUCGUGUCGUGAGAUGUUGGGUUAAGUCCCGCAACGAGCGCAACCCUCGUUCUAUGUUGCCAGCACAUAAUGGUGGGAACUCAUAGGAGACUGCCGGGGUCAACUCGGAGGAAGGUGGGGAUGACGUCAAAUCAUCAUGCCCCUUAUGUCUUGGGCUUCACGCAUGCUACAAUGGCCGGCACAAAGGGCAGCGAUACCGUAAGGUGGAGCGAAUCCCAAAAAACCGGUCUCAGUUCGGAUUGAGGUCUGCAACUCGACCUCAUGAAGUCGGAGUCGCUAGUAAUCGCAGAUCAGCAACGCUGCGGUGAAUACGUUCUCGGGCCUUGCACACACCGCCCGU
rnacentral:rRNA from 1 species